CAAAGUCAAGCCAUAGAAUAAAUAAAGCUUAGUUUAUUUUUUUCCUAAAAGAUAAAAACAAUAUAUAAAUGAAAGCUAUGAUAGUUUCUUUUCACACUGCCCAAUAAUCAUCUUUUGCAUGCCUGGGAUGCCCACCCUCUAUCGUAGGGACCAUCACUCUAAACGAUGAAGACCUUUGAAAAGUUUAAGAAAGGGAGACAUGAUUUAAAGUGGUUAAAGUGUUGGCUCUGUGAAAAAGCAGUUAUGGCAGGUGAGAAUAAAUGCAGUGAAGCCAGUUAAGAUGCUGAUGCAAUUUUCCAAAGGAAAUGAUGAGAGUGUAAAAUGAGUUGCUACAAGAAUCCAAAGGGGUCAGACUCCCAGCAUAUUAGAAGGCCAGGUUGAUUGGAAUUGGGCAGCAGAUGAGUUGUGAGGGAGGAAGGAAAUAUGUUACAUGAAAAUGUUAAAGUUAGGAUUUAGGAUUUGGGGGGUGUGGGAAACGAGGUCCAUUAAGAAAAUAAGACAGUGGUAUAAUAAACAAAUUUUGGAAAAAAGGAAAGUCAUAAUUCCCAUUUAUGUUAAGUUUCAGUUACUUUGGAAUAUCUAGAUGAAAUGAUCCAUCAGGGAGCAAGAUAUUUGGAUCUGGAGUUCAUGAAAGAGAGCUCUGAUCAAGAAAGAGAGAGACAGAGAGAGAAAAAGCUUGAUCACAAAGCUUGGAGUGAAUGGGUGUUGAAGAGAGGAGUGCUUCAUAGUAAGGUUACAGAGUAUGGCCAUGUACUUCACUUGAAGAUUCUUCAUUCUCCUCAACAUAUCAACUCCUCAUUCCCCUACAAAAUUCAGCUCUUUGUCAGCACAUCCAAAGUCUUCACUGAACCCCGAAGGCAUAAACAAAAAUCUUAAAGGCUAUUUGGGAUGCCUCUAACUCACCUAAAGCAGGAAUAACGUGAUUUCCUAUCACAUGGGAAUGGUGAGAGGAUUAAGAAGACACAGUGAGUGUCCAACACAUAGAAGGCCUUCAGUAAAGAUCAAUUAGAGUUUUCAUAACACUAUCAUGAAGAGUUCCUUCACUCCUGUGUUCAGUGGACAGGUGAGUAGGGAAAAGACAUUGUGAGGACUUCAGCUCUUAUUUUGGCAAUAUUCUCAUCACGGAGACUUGCCCUCCUCCUAUCAUCUAAAUGGCAAGUCUUGCCCUACCCAAGAACAGCAGGAAGACACAACACUUGUGCUCAGUUCCUGCAACAUAAAGACGACAAAGCUCAGGCGACUCUUUGGCCACAGCCAUUCUAAAUGUAUCUGCCCCCAACUUAAUUGCAGUGAUAAAUAUCAUGUAGAGAGCUGAGGCUAAAUGCCAAAUGCAUAAACCAGCUGAAUAGCAGAAAAAAAUAAGCCAUUAGGCCCCUCUCUCUGAUGCCCAGGAGAGGUUACCUGUUCCUUUUUUUCAACAGGCACUGCUGUUGGAGUAUACUUUGAUGUAUUGCGUAAGUCAGCAUAGCAACAGCAGGGAUAUAUGUAUUUGUCCCGCAUUCAAGCAUCUCUCUGAAUGCUUUCAAAAACCAGAUUGUACUAUCCAGACCGGCAGGAAUUGGUAUUUAAUAACAUGGCUAGCAAGAGGUGUGGAAUCCCAGCAAAUCGCACCUGUUCCAUGUGCAGACGAGGAGCAAGGCACUGUGUGGGGCAUUUUUAUGAACAUCCAUCUCACGACCCCCAGAGCACCCAACAUGGGAAGUUGGGAUUAUAUUAGACAUGGGAGAAACUGAAAGCAAGAGAGUAAGAAGCCAAUAAGAGCAAUGUAGCUGGUCAGUAACAAGGUAGAACCUCAAACUCAAAUCUUUUGGUUUCAACUUCCACGACCUUGAUGCUACCAUGUGGCCGCCUUGGUCUUCUACCUAACUUCUCAUUUACCUCCCUGAUUAAAUCACAAGAAUCCUGGGAACUGUAGGAGGAUAUACUGAGAAUUGAUGGAAAUGAGGGCAUCAACCAGUGGAGUGGCUAAUUUCUUUAGAUCAAACUCUGAAAGAUACAUUUCACCAGGAAGACUAUUAUGUAGAAUAGAUUCAAAUCUGACUCAGCUUCUUCCAUUGUAAAUGUUGGGAGGAGAAGAGUCUGACCCCGUCAACAGCCCUGAGUUCUCCCUGCUGUACCCUGAAGUGGCCACCUGCUUGGAGAACAGUUUCAUUCAGACCAACUCCCAAAUUUGAUCACUGAGGAAGCUGAGUUCCAGAGAGAGGAAUGGAUCCACUGAGGGACAACUUUUUAAGUCUUCAGACUUCUACCUUUAUUUUCUCAUGGAACCCUGUUUGCCGCAUGUCAUUAUAUCAGUGUAUUAUGAGGAGCGGUGAUUUGCCCAGCUGCACCUGGAGGAUGGGACUUGGAGCUAGGAUUCCAUGACAGGCUUUCUGACCCCAGGCUCUGUGCCUUUCCUCCAUUCCACAGCUGCAUCUAGGGCCUCUCAUAAGCGAGGGAAAUUUGUGCUUCAUUAAAAGGAAACUUUGCAAAGCUCCAGAACUAUUCCAUAUGUCACGAAAUCUCCAGACUCCAGUGCCUACCAGUUCUUAAUAUUUAUUAAACAGGUAUCAGUUCACUGGUUCUUAUCUGGAUCAUGUUCUCAGAGUCUAAACUCAGCACUGCAAACCUUCCUUCUGUUCCUCCCUCUUCCUAUCACAUCCAGGAUGAAAUAAUUAUAUUUCAUGUAGUUAAUUUAUACCUGCUGCUCAGCAAGCAUAACCUUUUCAUGCAGCCAGGGGCAAGGGUGUCUGUGGGGGCAAGAGAAAGAAGGAAAAUGUGAAUUUCCACUUAGCCAGCAAGUUAGCAGCUCAGCAAGAGAACAAAGCGAGUGCAAACAAAGAAGACGAGAGUAAGGAAGGAUAAAUCCUAAGUGUCUCCCUAGCCUGGAAAUUUCCAGAUGCGGUCCUUGUCAGGGUCACCAGGUGAUGCAUCUGAGCACAAGUUUUCUGUUGUCAUGACUGCUGGGGAGCAAGCAGCAUGUUGUACAAGCCCCGCCUUCCUUUGGCUGUUUAUCCCACAGGCACAGACAGGCUUAAAUUAUAAAAGCUGUGACUUUUUAAAGAAAUAUGAAUGGAGGCUCAGCACAGUGGCUCAUGCCUGUAAUCCCAGCACUUUGGGAGGCCAAGACAGGAGGAUUGAGCCCUGGAAUUAGAGACCAGUCUAGACAACAUAGUGAGACCCUGACUCUACUUUUAAAAUGAA